rnacentral:lncRNA from 1 species
AUCAACCAGAAUCCUUUCAAGAGGCCAACUAUCCAGGAAGUUGUUGAGUGGCUCAAGGGUGUUGGAACAAUCAAUAGAAACCAAAAUAAAGAUUCGUGAAAAGUGCUGUUCAUUGCUUUUUACGAAACAGAUACGUAUACCUGCACAAAAUGUCUGAAUCAGUUUAUGCAUACUUUUUCUUUUUUUAUUUUUAAUUGUGUAAAUAAAAUUUACCCAAUCAUAAUACUUCAGCUGUACAAAAAGAAGAAAUCGCAAUUAAGUAGAGACUAUAGUUCCAGGGUCGCAACUGUAACCUUUUGUCAGAUAGGUAAUUAGUCUUCCGUAUGUUAAAAGAAAGAUAGUUUCUUAGCUGCGGCAUCUACAAAGCAAACACCAUCUGGUUUUUUGGCUAGUGAACAUAAGCUUUUAAAAGUUUCCAUUAAAGUGAGUUCAUUUUUGUAGUAUCACUCAGAUAUCUACCACACAAAUGCAAGCCAGUAUUAGACCAUCACAGAUUAUUUUAUGAGCAGUAAAAACACAUCUAGCUAAUGGUAGCAGGUUACACUGUGUAUAUUAUUUUCACAAGAACAAAUAAAUUAAACUACAAAGACAGCAUAAAUGUUUAUCUUUUAAGCAUAAUCCUUGCCACAAUACCAAAUAUCAGGGGAUAUUUGUUCAUUUGAAAUCUUAGUCCUAACUUCAACAGUGAAACAAGUAGUAUAAGCAAAAUUAGUAUGUGCAUAGUGAUCAUCUCUAAUAAAUGAAACUUAAAUCACACUUACAAAUGUCUGCUAUGUUCCGAGUUCUGACAUCUUUUAGAACGAUUUGUCCAAUCUUUUGAACUCUGUUUCCCAGCUGAAAGAACAUAUGAGGAGCUGCUUUUUUUGCAUAUUUUCUAUCUUCCAACCUCAAGCAUUUCAUCACAAUCAAUACUCAAAACAAAUUCCGUAAACAAGGUCCUUACUCCUUAGCUAUAAGUAAUAAGGCUAACAUUGAAAACAUCUAUAUUUAAGGAAAUAAGUCAUAAACAGCAAAUUCAAUUGCAGAUAUGUCAGGCAGUCCAUUUAAACCAAACUUAACAAUUUGAAUAAAUUAACAGAAUUCGGAUGAAAAAUGUCACGAAUAGAAAGCUAAAGAACUUCUAGAGGUCCAAUUUUAAAUUUCCUCUUUAGAUGAAUUAUCUUUCCUUUUUUUUAUUUUGAUAUUGAAUCAGAAAAGAUAAACUUAACCUAACAGCAUAAUCCUACCAUACAUUGCUAAAAUAUCAUGUAAUUUAACAAGAUACAUCAUUAAAUAUGAUGCAAGAAUCACUAGCAUUAAUAAAGUUGCACCUCUAGAAUUUUAAUAUAUAUUAAGUGUAUGUAUACACAAAUGAAUAUUCACAUGCAUACAUUAUAAUGUCUAAGAUCUCUGAUUUCAUUUAAAUUCCACUGUUUCCACCUAUCUUACACUGACUUAAGAUUAGGUUUUAGACACGGUUAUAAGUCAUGUAAGAACCGUGCAAAAGUUGAAUUGGUCAAAAACCUGUCCAACAGGUAAAAGACCCGUUUAUAUAUAUACUUUUGAAAAACAUAAGACCUUUAGCAUAAUCCUAAAUACUCUAACGGGAUUUUUCAUCACAUAAACUAUCAAAGUUAUGUUACUUGCUAACUUCCAGAGAAACAAAGAAAUGGGUAAUUUUCUUUUUGACAGAAAGCCCAUUUCUGUAAUAGAAAAAUGGAGUUGAAAAAUAAGUUUUAAAAACUUCAAUGGUAUAGGAAAUGAUCUUUUUCUUUUGUUAAUUUAUCAAACAUGUGGAAUGCAAAAUGGGAAGUAAAGAAAAAGCAUUACAAAAAGAAAAUGGAACUCCAAAAACACUUAGGAAAUUAGAUAGCGAAACCACCAACACCAGACAAUUAGAACUUAGAAAUUUCUUCAAACACCAUCCAAACCACACCUAAAUCGGGCAAAACAUGUUCAAAGGUCCUCCAAGAUUUAUCUUGACUUUAUUUUUCAUAAGAAACCCAUGUUUUCUCUUCCUCGAUGGAUUAAUCAUUGCUUCAUUAAUUCAAAUAAAUAAUCAAAAGUCGUCUCCAAUUUCAAUCAAAACAUAAACCAAAUUUCACACGAAACCAACAAGAUAAAAGAGACAAUACACAGAUAUACAAAAAACAAUUUAUAUCCAUCCAAAAAAAAAACACCAGCAAGAUUACCAUAACGAAGUUUUUACGAGAAGUAUGGAGCAGCUUUCUUAUUUCUUCCCUUAAACUUGCAACAGGCUUGUGAUGUAAAUCACUAAAUUGUCA